CCUACGGGGGGCAGCAGUCGAGAAUUUUUCACAAUGGGCGAAAGCCUGAUGGAGCGACGCCGCGUGGGGGAUGAAUGGCUUCGGCCCGUAAACCCCUGUCAUUUGCGAACAAGUUGGUUCAAUUAACACCUGAACCAUUGAUUGUAGCGGAAGAGGAAGGGACGGCUAACUCUGUGCCAGCAGCCGCGGUAAUACAGAGGUCCCAAGCGUUGUUCGGAUUCACUGGGCGUAAAGGGUGCGUAGGCGGUGAGGUAAGUCUGACGUGAAAUCUCCGGGCCUAACCCGGAAACUGCGUUGGAUACUAUCUCGCUCGAGGAAUGGAGGGGAGACUGGAAUACUUGGUGUAGCAGUGAAAUGCGUAGAUAUCAAGUGGAACACCAGUGGCGAAGGCGAGUCUCUAGACAUUUCCUGACGCUGAGGCACGAAAGCCAGGGGAGCAAACGGGAUUAGAUACCCCAGUAGUCC
rnacentral:rRNA from 1 species